CCCCUUUAAAACGCGAAGUACGCAUGCGUCAUGUUCUUUCUUGCCAAGCGUGGAAGGAUGAGCUGGUUGCAAGUCCUACAUGUUGCAGUAUAACUUGGAGGAGCCAGAUGAUUGCUGCAGCCAAUGGAAGGGAUCAUGGCAUUUGCCACUGGAAAUGGGUGACAUGAGAAGUGCAGAUUAAUAAAAACGAGUAACUUUAAAAUGGGUACAAGGGUCGCCACUCAGAAAACCGUGACCUGAAAAGUGCAGAUGAAUUUAAAAUGGUUGCAUAGGUUUCCACAAAAUUCAAGAUCUGUCUGUGGGAGUCUUCCAGCACAAGGUCCCUCUGGUGUGAGGAGUCCAGGUCACGGAGAGCACAGGGAAAUGCCGCAUUGGGUGGAAAAACAAGCGCAGAGGCCCCUGCAUUCCCAAGACCAACUUUUCUAAUUUCCAAACUCUGGAACAUGCACUCACCGAAACGGGAGCUUGGUCCUAACUAUAAACUAGUAAUGAUGUGCUGAAAGGUGAAUGGGUUAUGAUUAACAUUAUUGAAAUAAAUUCUUAUUGAAACAUU